CAAAAUUGUACAAAUUAUACAUUUAACUAACAUAGAAAAAUACAUCUUGUUAACAAGAUAAAAUGUCAACAUAUCUUACAUAAUUUGUGAGAGUUACAAAUCUGUGAUAAUCAUCAAGUAGACUUUGUGACUUCGUUACAAUUCUGUAUUCACCCUAAUUACGUUGAAAAUUAAUACAUAUGUACAAUUCACAUCCAUGAUAAAUGUCUUAAAGUGGAAAUCUUUAUUGAAAAGUUAUCCAUAAACAGAUCAAAAUCAAGAGUGGUCUCUAUCAUGUUACUGAAACUUCUUGGUUAGCUUCUCCACUUUGACACCCAAUUACAGGGUAAUCAUGGGUAAGAGUUUAAACUUUUUGCAUUUAUUUACAACCCUUUCCCCUCCAAAAACAUCUAGCUGGUACAUCUGUUUAAUAAGUAUCAAACCAUAAACCCCAGCCUUUUUGUGAAUUCUUUGGCACCUCUUGAAAUGGACUCCAACUUGUGUCCCCAAUGCUUCGUGGUAGCUACAACACUAGUGGCUGUGCAGAAGAGCUGAAUAGCUGCACAGCAGUAGAGCUCAAAAUACAAGAUCUCCAUACAUUAUUCAUCCCAGAUUUCUCAUUAAUACAUCAGGAGGUGGGGAAAUAUCUUUGUUUCAGUCAGGGUGAGUAGACAGUUUUUACUCCUUACUUAAUUUACAUGGUUUCUUUCUUCAAAUUCCAAACAAAAGACAGAAGUCUAAUUUAUAAACAAGCCAUAAAAAUCUGUUCCAUGCUGCAUCUUGUCUUAUAUACUGUGAGCUGUGUAAUGAUUUUUCUUCUAACUAUUUACAUAUUUUUUAAAACUUGUUUGUCAUCAAAGGGAGCAAAAUAGACAACCACUCCUCUGAGUUUCAUGCCCAGGUUUUUUAUUUCUUUUUCAUUUUUUUUUCUUUUGGUAGCUCUGUACCAACUAUUUUUAAUUCCUAGAAGAUAAAUUUCUCUUCCCAUCUCCAAGCCAAAGGCUGAGGCUGAUCGAUUUCUCCUAAGAUCUGCUUAGGAACACCAGUGAGAACAUGAAUGACCUCUCAAAGGCUUUUUGUUGAGGAGUGGUAUUAACCAGUUAAUUAUUUUUUCCCUCAUUUUAAAGAAGACACAACCACUAUUCUGAGAACAGAGAAAUGCAGAUAUUCAGCAUCCAUUAAUUCACACUGCACAGUAUCCUCUCACGUUGGAAUUUACAUUUGCAUAUUCAUAUUCCAAUAAUGAGAGUCUGUUACAGACAGAAAUAACAUCGAACAGAGAUUUAUACCACAGAUCCCAACGACUCCAGAUCAAGAAUAUGUAUUAUUACUGGGAGACUGAGCUUUGUAAAGAUCAGCACAUUCUAGCAGUGAACUCAAGAAAAAAAAAAAGAAGAAGAAACAACACAAAAAACAGUUGUCAUCACUGAGAGUCCAUUACAGUGAAAGGGACGGUUUGGGAGAUCAGUAUCUGUGGCUGUUCCCACUCUGACAACAUGAGUUGCUGCAGACUUCAACAGCGCUGAGCAAGCUUUUAGUUAAAGAAGGAAUGUAUAUAUCUAUAUGACCACUUAUGACUACUUAAGCACGAGUCUUGUGCCAGUGUUCAUGUCUCCCUGACUUCACAAAUAGGUACUCAGAUAUGAAUAGCAGGAGAUAUGAGUGCAUAAAUGUGCACUAUGUACUGUAGUUGCAAAAUAUUUUUGCAUAACAUGUAAUAUUAUCAACCAAUGGGCGCAGAAACACCUACUUCGGGAUAAGAACGUAUAUAUGUGAAUACCUUAUCUGAAAGUUAUAUUCAGCAUGGCCUAUUCAUAUGGUUGAAUACCAAUCCAUCUAGAACAUUAGGACAUGGUGCUUUGAAAUCCCAAAUGCUUCUCUUGUGCCCAUGAAGAUCAUCCUCAAUUCAUACCUUCGUAAAAACAUAGUUCUAUCUCAUUUCCUGGACAGUUUGUACCUUCAUCUAACAUGUCCUCAGAAAAACCAAACAUCCUAACUUAGCCUCUUUCUGGAAUGCUCAACACCAUAAGAGACUGAAGACAUUGCACGCCCACAUCAGCAGACCCAUGAAGACUGAGGUCUGUGCUUAGUAUGAUAAUUUCUUAAAAUGGAACUUCAGGGAUCGUAAGAAAACAAAACAACAAAAUAACAAACCACAUAUCAGGCUGGCUCUCAUGGUCAAGUUCCACUGCAGGAUGUGGCUAAAACAUGGUAGAUGGUAACUCAGUGCAGCUUCUCAUUUCUUUCCCAUAAUGAAGCCGUUGUGGUAACCUCCACGUCAAAGCACCUUUCAUCAUUCCUUCAGAGCAGUAAUUGUGUCUUUGUAACCAAAACUUUACUCCCUGGAUAAGUGAAAGGAGAAAAUACAAAGAGAAAAGCAUAAGAUAAGAAUCUGGAUUUCCACAAUUUAAGGAGUCGUUCAUUAUUUGUUCAAGGUCAAAAUAAAGCAUUUGGAAAGUAGUGUGCUUUGUGUGCUUCCAUGCAUACAUAACACAAUUACAGCAUUAAGGGAACACAUUGUGGGAAUUGAAUUGUUCUAAACACAUUGAGAUGUUUUCCCAUGAUUAACUGAUUUUAUGAUGAAAGUCACAUCUUGUACUUCUCCUUUUU
rnacentral:lncRNA from 1 species